rnacentral:lncRNA from 1 species
GGAGGGUGCACUGAUGUCUGAGUGAUGUUUAACCAUGCCGGUCCAGGUACAGUGCCUGUCUCCGGAAUGAUGCAGGGAUCCCAAAGUGGAGAGAAUUAGACCUAUCGCAUUUGUGAUUAGAGUGGGCAAGAAAAGCAACAAAUGAUCAGGAGAAUUGGGGGCUUACCCAGUGAGCGAAGCUUUGGCAAAAAUGUAAAGCCGUGCAGCACAAUGCAAGAGGAGGCCAAGGACUCCCUGCAAAACCUCAACUUCAAGCCUAAAACAGCCUGAAGGUUGAAAAACUGGACUGCUGGCUCCAGAUGAAGUCCACCCUUUCCCAACUGAUUCUUUCUGAAUAAUGCCCACCUGCACACUCAGAGGAUGGGGUGGGGCCAUGCAAGCUCCCUGCCGGGAACCCAGCCUCUUGAGCUCCUAUGUGGUGGGGCAGGAGCCAGUUCACAGGCUUCCCUCUCACUCUGCUGAGAGUUUUUCUCUUUUCCUUUUUUUUGCCCAAUAAAUUCCAUUUUUCUCACCCUUCUGUGUGUCCAUGAGCCUAAUCUUUUCUGAUUGUGUGACAAGAACCUGUAUUUUCC